CAAAAGUCGUGCACGCCGGAGCACGUCCUCUCUCUCACAUAAAAUCCAUCUCACCCUUUUGUGCACCACCGCGCGGGCACCCUUUGGGAUGCUUGCGUUUUCACACAAACCCCUUUUAAAAAAGUGUAGAAUGACCCCACUUUGCGAUGACACGCAAUCAAUACAACUUUCAACAACGGAUCUCUUGGCUCUCGCAUCGAUGAAGAACGCAGCGAAAUGCGAUACGUAAUGUGAAUUGCAGAAUUCAGUGAAUCAUCGAAUCUUUGAACGCACCUUGCGCCCCUUGGUAUUCCGAGGGGCACACCCGUUUGAGUGUCGUGAAAAUCUCAACCUUCUCGGUUUUCUUCUGGACACCGAAGGAGGCUUGGACUUUGGAGGCCUUUGCUGGCGUCUCUCUAGAGCCAGCUCCUCUUAAAUGAAUUAGCGGGGUCCUCUUUGCCGAUCCUUGACAUGUGAUAAGAUGUUUCCAUGACUCGGUUUCUGGCUCUGUUGCAUUUGGGACCUGCUUCUAACCGUCUCGACGAGACGAUGUUUGGGAGUGUCUCCCUUCUCAGGAGACUCUCUCGACCCCACGAACC
rnacentral:rRNA from 1 species